UACGUAGGGUGCAAGCGUUGUCCGGAAUUAUUGGGCGUAAAGAGCUCGUAGGCGGUCUGUCGCGUCUGCUGUGAAAACUCAGGGCUUAACCCUGAGCUUGCAGUGGGUACGGGCAGACUAGAGUGCGGUAGGGGAGACUGGAAUUCCUGGUGUAGCGGUGAAAUGCGCAGAUAUCAGGAGGAACACCGGUGGUGUAGACGGCUUUCUGGAC
rnacentral:rRNA from 1 species